rnacentral:rRNA from 1 species
UACGAAGGGUGCAAACGUUGCUCGGAAUUAUUGGGCGUAAAGCGCACGUAGGCGCUUUGUAAGUUGGAUGUGAAAGCCCUCGGCUCAACCAAGGAAGUGCAUCCAAAACUACAAAGCUUGAGUACUUAAGAGGAUCGCGGAAUUCCCGGUGUAGAGGUCGAAAUUCGUAGAUAUCGGGAGGAACACCAGUGGCGAAGGCGGCGAUC